rnacentral:rRNA from 1 species
GGACGAUAAUGACGGUACUUUAGGAGGAAGCUCCGGCUAACUACGUGCCAGCAGCCGCGGUAAUACGUAGGGAGCGAGCGUUGUCCGGAAUUACUGGGUGUAAAGGGAGCGUAGGCGGGACUGCAAGUCAGAUGUGAAAUGCCGGGGCUUAACCCCGGAGCUGCAUUUGAAACUGUGGUUCUUGAGCGAAGUAGAGGCAAGCGGAAUUCCUGGUGUAGCGGUGAAAUGCGUAGAUAUCAGGAGGAACACCGGUGGCGAAGGCGGCUUGCUGGGCUUUUACUGACGCUGAGGCUCGAAAGUGUGGGUAGCAAACAGGAUUAGAUACCCUGGUAGUCCACGCUGUAAACGAUGAUUACUAGGUGUGGGGGGACUGACCCCUUCCGUGCCGCAGUUAACACAAUAAGUAAUCCACCUGGGGAGUACGGCCGCAAGGUUGAAACUCAAAGGAAUUGACGGGGGCCCGCACAAGCAGUGGAGUAUGUGGUUUAAUUCGAAGCAACGCGAAGAACCUUACCAGGUCUUGACAUCGUAUGCAUAGCAUAGAGAUAUGUGAAAUCUCUUCGGAGACAUAUAGACAGGUGGUGCAUGGUUGUCGUCAGCUCGUGUCGUGAGAUGUUGGGUUAAGUCCCGCAACGAGCGCAACCCUUACCUUUAGUUGCUACGCAAGAGCACUCUAAAGGGACUGCCGUUGGCAAAACGGAGGAAGGUGGGGAUGACGUCAAAUCAUCAUGCCCCUUAUGACCUGGGCUACACACGUACUACAAUGGCAAUCAACAAAGAGAAGCAAGACAGUGAUGUGGAGCGAAUCUCAAAAAAUUGUCCCAGUUCGCAUUGC